rnacentral:rRNA from 1 species
CGGAGCUGAUGCAGCGACGCCGCGUGAGGGAUGACGGCCUUCGGGUUGUAAACCUCUUUCAGUAGGGAAGAAGCGAGAGUGACGGUACCUGCAGAAGAAGCGCCGGCUAACUACGUGCCAGCAGCCGCGGUAAUACGUAGGGCGCAAGCGUUGUCCGGAAUUAUUGGGCGUAAAGAGCUCGUAGGCGGUUUGUCGCGUCUGCUGUGAAAGCCCGGGGCUCAACCCCGGGUCUGCAGUGGGUACGGGCAGACUAGAGUGCAGUAGGGGAGACUGGAAUUCCUGGUGUAGCGGUGAAAUGCGCAGAUAUCAGGAGGAACACCGAUGGCGAAGGCAGGUCUCUGGGCUGUUACUGACGCUGAGGAGCGAAAGCAUGGGGAGCGAACAGGAUUAGAUACCCUGGUAGUCCAUGCCGUAAACGUUGGGCACUAGGUGUGGGGGACAUUCCACGUUUUCCGCGCCGUAGCUAACGCAUUAAGUGCCCCGCCUGGGGAGUACGGCCGCAAGGCUAAAACUCAAAGAAUUUU